CUCUCUCUUUUUUUUUUUGCCCCUAUCAAUGGAUUUUAUUUGGUCACAGGGUCACAGGCCAGGUAUGGCCCCAGCUUUAUUUGACCUUCUUCACUGGGGCUCAGGUUGUUGGUGUUGCCAAACUUCUUGUAGCAGUUGACUACACUCUGUGCAGGCAUGAAUAGCACUUGUGGCAGAUCAUCUUGUCACAAUUGUAAUUCUGGACAAGGUGACAAAGUGAUGACUCAAUGAUGCCACUGUGCAGACAUAGCAGCAGGUGCAAGGUGGACUCUUUCUGGAUGUUGUAGUUGGACAGGGUGUGGCCAUCCUCCCAAUGUUUGCCAGUGAAUAUCAGCUCUGCUGGUCGGUGGGAUGCCUUCCUUGUCUUGGAUCAUUAUUGAUGGUGUCACUGGGCUUGAUCUCAAGAGUAAUGGUCUUGCCCAUUAGGGUCUUCAUAAUGGCCACCUUGUUGAAGAAAAAGAUACCUGAUCCGAAGCCCUUUAUACCUUUUUCUCCCUCCACCUCAGAACAUGUGCAGUCCUCUCGAUUCUUUGUUCCCAGAGAGGGGCCUCUUUGGGUUGUCUCCAGCUUUGCUUGGUCGUGUGGUGAUCUCAGGAAUCCUGUUCAAUGUGCCGGCCAGAAAACUCCCUCACAGGCAGUUGUGCUCUAGGUUCUCCUAUCCCUUUCCUCGAUUCUAGAUGAUGCCCUCGGCUUUAGCUCUCUGUCUGGGGUUAGGGAAGGGAGCCUCUCUGCAGUUCUCCGUAGACCCCUCAGACCCAGUCACCUCCCAAUCCACCAGUACUCCUGCCUAGAUCUCUAUCAGAUCCCUAUUCUGGGGGUGAGAGGGAAGUAAACUUUUAUCUCAGGUUAGUUGAGUUCUAAUGGAUACGUUGGGCGCCAUUUUGUUGCAGUUUGUGGCAGUUUCCUCUCCAACGCGAAUCGGCCAGUACAAUGAAAACGCAACUCAAUUAAUAUAAAACAAUCUAGCGUCUAGAUUGGGCAGAUCCACCCUACACUGUCCUAUUCCUAGCUCCCAAAUCCCUCAUCCCUUGCACCUUUUAUUUGCCAGGUCUCCAGCUUCUCUUUCUCCCAUGACAACUCUCUCCUCGCUUCUUUCCUUUC
rnacentral:lncRNA from 1 species